AAAAGUUAUUGUUAAAAAACUAUUUUCCUUGAUGGAGUGUUACGAGGUUUGCGUUAUUCCACUUGUUUGAAUUUGAUGUGAAGGGUGGGAAAGAUGGCAAUCCACCAUAUUUGACGACUAUUUUCUUUGAGACCCAUAAAAAGAUAACAACCUUGUUGAACCUGAAGAAAUUAAAAAACGUGUACCUUUGUUACAUAUAAUAAGUUAAUAGCCAAAAAUUGUUGUGUUUUGAUAGAAAAUGUCCUUUUAAAUAUUUUGUAGGCUCAACUUGAGGAAAUAGUUCAAGAAGAUCCAUCCCCAUCUAUUAUAGAGAUUGUUGAAAAAUGUUGUUGGCCACAAAAUCGUAGACAUGUUUUUGGAUUUGUGGGUGGAGUAAAGGCGAAUGAUUUGAAAGGUGGGACUUCUUCAAAGGCUGAAAUAUUGUCCGCUCUACAUUUAACUCGAGAUGUUAACAAAUUCUUGAAUAAAGAAAAUAAAUCCUUGAAUGAGGAAAAAAAUCCUUGAAUGAUCGCUUGUCUAAAUUUGAAGAUACGAUGAAAGAAACAUUGAAAAUGAAAGAACUCUUUGCUGUUCAACAAUCAGAUGUCGCACCAACAAUAUCAUCUCUUCCAACGAUUUUGAUUGAAUGAUCGCUUGUCUACCUUAGAAGAUGCGAUGAAAGAAAUAUUCAAAAUGAAAGAACUCUUUGCUUCUUAACAAUCAGAUGUCGCACCAACAAUAUCAUCUCUUCAACAUGAUGAAAAUCAUUUUUGUAUUGACAAUAUUUUGUUAAUGUUUCUUAACAACACUCGGGAUCAUUAUCAAAGAUUGCAAAGUCGAUGCCUAUCUUGUGGAUCCCUUUAAUGUCUUUCUAACUUGAGGAUUUACUUUAACGUAUCUCCAUACGUCUCAAGAGGUGAAAUUAUAUGAUGAUGGAGGGUGCAACGUUUACUUUCCCUGAGGAUAUUCAAUUUCAGAAAGUACACAAUCCUUUAUCAACAAAGUAUUAUGAUCUAUAAGACUAUGAUACUGACAUCAAAGGGUACAAAAAUGCGGCAUUAUUUGAGAAAGGUAUUUAUCCCGAGUAUUGCCUUCAUCAAACGUUAGCAUAUGUCAAUGAGACGUCAUCCUAUAAUGUGAUGACUAAUAGUUAGGCUUAUAUUUCUACCAAACAUAGAUGAUAUCAGAAGAUUUUUUUAGAAUUCAAGUCAGGAUUAGAGACUCCUUACAUAUUUUGUUUUAAAAAACGUCAACCGAGCCUAAAAGUCUAAAUCAGUUCUAAUUCUUCUCCAAUUUUGUAUAUAUAAUCGUCAAGGUACUUCCAUCAAAGAAGAGAAUCAUCAUAAGAAUAGGAAUCAGUCGAAAGAGGAGAAAAAUAUUGGGGACUUUCUACUCAUCAAUAUUUAAAUAUGAUAAUAAUUUGUUAUUUCUAUGAUUUUGAGCACAUAUUUAAACAUUCUAAUAGAUAUGACUUUUGCAUUUGCAGAAAAUCUUCUUCAUUUAUUUUUUGUGCAUUUUAAGUG